UACGAAGGGGGCUAGCGUUGCUCGGAGUUACUGGGCGUAAAGGGCGUGUAGGCGGUUUGUUAAGUCUGGCGUGAAAGCUCUCGGCUAAACCGGGAGAGGUCGUUGGAUACUGGCGAACUAGAGGAUGGUAGAGGCGUGUGGAAUUCCGGGUGUAGUGGUGAAAUGCGUAGAGAUCCGGAGGAACACCAGUGGCGAAGGCGACACGCUGGGCCAUACCUGACGCUAAAGCGCGACAGCAUGGGGAGCAAACGGG
rnacentral:rRNA from 1 species